UCAAAAGUGGGAGCGUCUUCCGGUUCAAAGUAAACAAGCACGACCUGACACUUUUUCAUUCAACAGCUGACAGGAGUGAUAGGCAAAUGAAGCCUCGUGAAACACCGAGGCUGCGUUCGGGAACCGAAUACUUCUCUACUAUAUAGUAGGCAAAAAGCAGUAAGUUAGGCGAGUGUAUGAGUAUGUUUGAAUCUUCAGUAUUCAUAAAAGAGUAGGCGAGAAUAAGUAGGCGAGUGCACUCAUUCUCGUGAGAUUCGGACGUACGUAUACUUCAUUUGCAUUCUAAUAUGCCUACUUACCUACUAUAUAGUAGGAAAAAAGAGUACGUGGAGAUAGAAGUACGUUUGAAACCUAAAAGAGUAGGCGAGAAGUCCCUGGAUGUCCUACUGCUUCAGCCCAGAUUCUGGAGUGUUCAUCGAUGGAUACUUUUCAAUCCCAGGAGUCCACGGGAGAGCAAUACGUCACCAUCGAAUGUGAUCGAGAACCGCAACGAGAGUGUUUACAAAUGGACAGAUGAGACGUGUGUUUAUCCGGUGCAGAGUGACUGAUGAAGGAAUGCUGCCAUCAAAGGAUUUUAAUCUUUUGUGGUGGAACAGGUGGCGGCAGCAUUUGUGGGAAGAAAGGAAGACCUGAAACAAAAAUAUAAAACUGGUGUGAGCAGUGAGAAAGGAGAAAUCCACAGCAGCUUCCUGACAAUGACCUGGUGCCAUGAAUGAGAUCCUCCAUCACUCCACCUGCCAUUACUGCCUCAUCUGGGCCAGAUGUUGCUGUGGCCUGAGGAUGUGAUUCUGUUCUGCUUUCAGAGGUUCCAAAAGCAUCAACAAAUAAAGUCAUGAAACUUUUAUCCAAAGUGACUUACAGUGCUCUUAUUACAGGGACCCCCAAUCCCCUGGAGAAAAGUUCCUUGCUCAGGUAGUUGCGAACCAGCAACCUUCUGCUUACCAGUUCAGCGGUUUAGCCCACUACAAAAGUAACAGAGCUACAACAAAAAUUAGCAUGUAGUCGAGCAGACACGGUGAUGGCCAGAUUGUCCCGCACAUGUUCUCCUGCUCUUGUCUCAAGGUUGUGGAGUUCAGUGGUGUGUCUUCAUGGUCUUUCUCACCAUCUGGCUCAACAACAUCCCCAUUGAGAAGAGUGAGAUUGUGGAGCACAGCGCAGCAGCAGAAUUGGCACAGCUGCAUUGAGAUGGCAAUAGGAUGUGGGGUUCACCAACUGUAAAUACAUGAUUGUUAGAUCAAUAAGUUUGAAUAAAGCUGUUUCAUCUGUUGUU